UUCCCUUUUCAUCUUGAUUUAACCCUAGUUUUCACUUUUCACUUUUCACUUUUCACUAAUUCCCAACCCCCAAAAUUCCCUCAGCUUCCACGAUGGCCCGCCCCAAUCUCUCCUCCACCGCCCAUGACCGCCACAAUAUCCAAUGCCCUUCGCCAUCUCUAGCCGUCUAGUUCCCUGCUAUGGCUUCACUGCCGUCUCCCCCGCCGUCGAAUUGUUGUUCCUCGUCAUCAUCGACGUAUCGAGAUCCCUGACCUCGCCGCGUCCUACACCAGCGCCAUCCAGUACUUGCAUCUCUGCCUCCGUGACCAGCGCACAGUCCUCGCCUCCGUCGGCGUGUUCGAGUUCCUGGUGAAACUAUUGCCGACUCCACUGCGAGCUGCGGAGAGGCGAUGUUGUCGAAUUGAGCUUGGCGGUUGGUGGCGGUUUCAAUUUUAGAGGAAAUUGAGAUUGCAAAAGAAGGUUGCAGGAUGCUUGAAGGUAUUUCCCAUUUAUUUCUGUUUAUGUAUGUAAUAGCAAAAACUACCAACGAGAAGAAAGCUUCAUGCAGAGUAGUUUGUAGAAAGCUUGAAGGAUUUUGUUUCUUGAUGUAAUAGUAAAAACACAACUUUGAGGCAUUUUGUUUGCUAACUCUGAUUUCUUUUAGGGAAAUUUCAGGAUCUGAAAGUUUUAAAGAAUCAGUUGUAUUCACUAUUCAGCAGCUGAAUCAAGAAGAAAUGAUUAUUGCAAAGCUAUAGCAUAAAUACAAGGUUUUAACUCAUUAACAACUCUUGUUGGGAAAUAUACAAUUUCAAGAGCUACAUUUGAGAACUUUCGGAUAGUACCUUUUGAUUGUCGUUCGAUUUCUGAGAAUUGAGUUAUUGACUAGUGAAAUUGGAUUCAUGUUGAUUUCUCAGUCACAAUUGAACAAUUUGAAAUUUGUUGUCUUCAACUACAGUACAGAGGCAUGUUAUGAAACCACUUUGUUUAAGAAUUUCAUUCAUGGAAUGUCGAUCGAGAUCAUUGUGAAAUUCAUGAAUAACUCUUUUCUUACUUUUCACAUUGAUAAGGUUCAUCAUUUAUCUUCAUGAAAUCCCCUAUUUAAAUUUUAAUGCAUAACAUUUUUUCUUGAAUCUCUCUCUUUUUCAGGACAUUGCAGGUACAUCCAAGUUCUAAUCCGUUCACUUAUGCAUAUUCUUAUUAAUGUACGAAACAUGGUUACUCACAAGAGUUUUUGCUGAUGUUUAUCAAUAUUUGUGUAGGUAAUCUAAAAUUGCACAAUAUUUGUGUAAGCAGAUGACCUCAAGUCAGAUGUUUCUAUCCAUGACCGAAGAGUUUGAUAUGGGUGAUGUUCUCAUCGGUGGUAAAUAGAGUAGUGGUAUGUCACACCAUAUUUUUCACCACUAAAGAAGAAGAGAACUAGAUUAGAAUGCAAUCUUUCUCGAGCUUUUUGGGAGGGUGAAGAAAAGAAAAUAGGUUCCUGGAGCUGUACGGGUGACGAGCUUAUUUUGGGAGCUAGUAGUAUUUGAACUAAUUGUGGGAGCUAGUAGUAUUUUAACUAAAUCAUGUGAUCUAAUUGAAUUGAAGUCUAAAACAAUAUUUUGUAUCUGUGUAAAAUUUUAAUUUCGUUA